AUAAGAUCAAUAAAUAACUCUUUUUAAUGUUCUAAAAGCUUGCAUUAAAAGAGGUAUAAAGAGAGGUAUUUAUAGCCAUCAAGCAGAAGAUCCGGACAAGUGAUUCAGAUGUUCGCUUGUUAUCCAGACGAUUAACUAGCCAUUUGCCAAACGGUUAAAAAAUGUGACCGUUGGACAUCCCAUCCGGACGUUCGGAUGGGCCAAUUAUUUUCCCAUCGAAUUUUCCUUUUUCGUGAAAAAUUUCCUUUAAGGUACUUGAACGGUUUUCUUAUAUACUUCAUAUAGAUAAGUAAUUUCAUAAAUGUUUAAUUGUGAAAAUCAAAUUACUUAUCUUUUGAAAAUAAUUUUUAUGCAAGUAAAGUUUGUCGUGAUAAUUCCCGUGCAUAAAAAUUGUUUGAGCUAUAAUCGAUGCGAAAUAUUAAAGUGUUUUACCUUUAUACUUGAGUAUACAAAUGCAUCUAUAGCUAAUGUCUUCAAUUUCUCCAUCCAAUGCAAUUUGGUGCGUGAAAGCUCGAUAUCCAUUUCCUUGUUCGUAAAUCUUGUGAGUAUAUUGUUUUGCACCAAGGUUGCAUGAUUCCCGAUCAAGAUAUUUCGUAUCAUAAAUUUGCAAUAAUCACUAUCAAUCACUUAAAUUUAAUUUGUUAGAAUCAAACGCAAUUUGUUUGUAAUAAUCAAAACAAAAAGUCAACCAUUAGGUCAACAACCAUACUUUACACAACUCUCUCUCUCUUUUAUUAUCUUACAACAUAAACGAGUUCAUACAUAUUUAGAUACACGUUUAUAAACAUCGAUUGGUAAUUAUUGUACAAUCGGUCUACGAAUAUCUCACCGGAUUUCGAACGUUCUCGUCCGGCGUCAUUGAGCUACUCCCACGCCCUUGAUCUGUCCGUUUUAGACCGUCCACGUGUCUUUGCAUGUUGGACUUUCGCUUAUGUCUGCGCGGGUGGGUCCGGCAUCUGUUGGUAACAUUUUUUGGGGUCAACAGAUUGGCGCCGUCUGUGAGAAUCCAUACAAUAACCACGAACAACCUUAUAGUGAAAGCUUAUUGAAGAGGAACGUUUAGGCAUUCCCCUUGAAAAAGGAUUUGUUCUUGAAAAAGAACAAGAGAAAGCCUCACAACUUAGUAAAAAACUGAAGGUCAAACAAAGAAAAUGAGUUCAAACGAAGACACCCCCGGGAGGGUAAGAGAAAAUGCAGGUGUGCCCCCUCCAGCAGUUGCCCUGGCAGCUUGGCACCGACUCUACCACCAUCAUAGAUGAGGUGGAAUGCGAGUGACAGUCCGGUUAUCAAGAGAAAUGGCCAACAUGGCAGCCAACAUGAGGGACAUUGCUAGCCAGAACAUGGCUAUGAGGGAACUCAUGGUCCAAAUGCAAGGCCAGGGAGAUUUCCCUAUUCCCUCAUACGCCUCAUAAGGACACUAUCAGCAAGAAGAUGAAGUUCAAAGUCAGAGAGUUGCCUCGCCGGACUAUAGCCGAGGUAGAAGUCCAUUUGAAAGGAAAGUAAAAGUUGAUAUUUCUUCCAACUACGCGUCUGGGCGACCCACCGAGGUCCCUUUGAACCAUGAAAACUUCCUACCUCUAUAUGAGCAAGAGCAAAGACAUAGGAGGUCAGGUAGUAUAUUUGACAGAAUCAGCCCUACAGAACUGAGGCCCAAGCAACAACAGCCUCGCGAGCCUUGAAUAAGGCCACAGUCCCCAUUUCCAAUGCCUCAACAACCGGAAGAAAGCAUGAAAAUGCCCCCCGUACUGCACCGCCUAGAAAUAGACGCCAAAGGAGGGAAGAGAAGGUUAGGAUCUGUCCCGGAACCUCUCAUCAACCACCAAGGUAUGAGGCCGAAGAAAAUGAUUCAGAUGAGCAGCAGAGGUCCUAUGACUUUGUUGACGAUGAUGAGAACCUACCAUUCUCGAGGGAACUAAGGAAUGCCUAGGUCUCGAACUACUACGUUAUGCCCAAGAUACCAAAAUAUGAUGGAAGAGGCGACCCUGAGAAGUACCUGAACGCUUACAAAACUCACAUGAGCCUAAGGGGAGCCACCCCAGCUGAGAAAUGCAAAGCUUUCCACUUAACACUUAGCAGAGCAGCUGAAAUUUGGUAUAAUAGGUUACCACCUGGGAGUAUAAAGAGUUGGCCCGAAUUCAAGACCACUUUCUUGAAAAGGUUCGCUGUGAGCAAAGAGGGAGAGGAUCCCAUCCAACGUCUCCAAGAUAUGAGACAGGCACAUGGGGAGUCCCUGAAGAGCUUCCUAUCACGCUUCACUAACGAGAUAACGUACUGUGUGCAAGUCACCGACCGUGAAGUGUUAUCUGCACUGAGAGGAGGCUUGAACAUGAACACCCUGUUUUGGAUGGACGUGCAAAAUCAAGACCCCACCACCUAUGAGGCCCUACUCGAGAUGAUGAGAUGGGAGAUCAUCAAUGAAGAAUUGAUUGAGCAUAGGAAUAGGGCAAGUAGAUGCUCCCCACCUCCGCAAAGACAGCGUGCUAGAGGGCCGACCUCCCACUUGAUAGAUUACCAAAUGAACCAAGUCAGUAAUAAGAGUUCUGUGCAAGCACUCGCCACCACCACUCUGAACGCGAUUCCAACCUUGGCAUAUGAGGAUAUCAACCCAGUCACUAACACCCAUCAAAUGGGAACUCUGCAAGGAUCCUGCAGGGGAAGAUGCCGAGGCCGGGGUUCGGGACCUAGAAAUAAGUCAAAUCCCAACCCCUCGGGAUAGUGCAUAUACCACCGGUCCUAUGGCCACGACACAGUAAAUUGUUGAGACUAUGCUUACCGUACCCGACAAAAAUCCCCCAGGGAUAGAAAUGAAUCACCCCAAGUGAACAGGCCCCCACCUAGGUAUGACAACCGACCUGGGCGUGAAGAGGCCGCUCCCCAUCAGAGGGAUGUUUCUUUGCGACGAAAGGAGCACGAUGCAGAGAGGCUCAGGGAAGGGCACAGACAUCGAAGAAAUCAACAAACUCAGGAUGAGACCCCUAUCCACGAGGUGGAUACAAUAUUUGGAGGCCCAUAUGUGGGCGUUGAAAUGCGGAACACUAAAAGAAACUACGCCCGUAAGGUUAAGCGCCCCCUCUUACCAGCUACAUUGUGGACCACAGCUCACGAAGGAAUCAAGUUCCACCCAUUAUCUUCACCCAGGAGGACGCUGAAAGGAUUCACUACCCCCACUACGAAGCACUGGUGGUGAGAGCGGUCAUAGCUCGGAAUGGGCUCAAAUGAAUGCUAGUUGACAACAGUAGCUCUGUCAACAUUCUAUUCGGGUCCACCUUCGAUAAGAUGAUACUGGACCAUGAGUUGACACCCACCACCACUCCCUUAUACGGAUUUACUAGAGAUAGUAUCUCUACGAGAGGAAAGAUCAUCCUUGUAGUGGAGAUGGGGGAGUCUUCCCAAACAACAAUGAAUUUCAUGGAGUUCCUCAUUUUUGACAGUCGAUCGACCUACCACGGAGUGUUGGGUAGGCCAGCUUUAAAGGAAUUGAGAGUCGACACCUCCAUUCACCACCUAUGCAUGAAAUUUCCAACCGAAAAU
rnacentral:lncRNA from 1 species